ACUACGUAGUUCUCGAUGUCAAGUAAAUAUGUUAUUAUUUCGAAUGUCGCGCGUAAACCGACAUAACCUAAAAGUUAGUUGCCAACGAAUAUAAAAAACACCGAAGCUCGUCGCGAAGAAAGUUUGAAACGAUGGUUUUGUGCAACGUCCAAUGCCUAGAAAGAAUUUCAAAUUACUUGGACGUGUCGCCGGUGCAAUUAGAAAUGCAUGAAAAUGUAGUCGUUAGUACGGAACGAGCAUCUAACAAAACAAUCGAAGGAUUUAGUACUAUAAUUCAGUCAUUAAUCAAGAAUUCAAAAUAUCCGAACAUCCUUGGUGAUAAUAACGAGGUAGAAGCUUUAUCGCGUCAAUGGCUCGAAUAUGCCGUUGUCUGUAUUAAUUACGCUGACACUCCGGCGAAUACGAAGAGGAUUUUACAGGAAUUAAAUAUUGCUCUAAGGGACAGGACAUACUUAACUGGUACAAAAAAAACCAUUGCUGACAUAACGCUGUAUUAUGUCUUAUACUCAGUAAUGCGAGAAUUAACUCACCAGGAGAAAGCUCAGUAUGUGCAUGUGUCAAGGUGGUUUGAUAACAUACAGCAAGAAAAAAAAUUAAGGCAGCAACUAGAUCUAAUUUCCUUUGACUUGUUACAUUUAUUCUUAUGAAUUAAUAUACACACAGUCAUGAUUUAAUAAUUGUUACAUAUUCUCACUUCAAUAAGAAAUACAUAAAACUAAAAUCAUUGUCGGAUGCAUAUAAAUGAAAUGAUACACAGAAUUAUUA